AACUUGAAGUUGGUCUUUGAAGAAUUCAUAAUCUUUGGGGAUGUGGAAUUCAUUCUAAGUUGAAAGAAAACAGCCAAACACCAAGUUUCCUUCUGAAGAACUACACCCUUGGGUGGCCAUUAGAACCUGGAUGCAGUUAAACCAGAUGAAGAUUCUAUUUCAUCCAUUAUUUGAGGUGUGAAAAGAAGGACAACUUUAUCAUUAGCCUUCCAUCUGCUCAUGUAAACGUGGGCAUUUACCUUCAGCAAUGAUGAUGGAGUUCUGUUU